rnacentral:rRNA from 1 species
AGUGAACGCUGGCGGUAGGCCUAACACAUGUAAGUCGAAUGGCAGCACAGUAAGAGCUUGCUCUUACGGGUGGCGAGUGGCGGACGGGUGAGGAAUACAUCGGAAUCUACUUUUUCGUGGGGGAUAACGUAGGGAAACUUACGCUAAUACCGCAUACGUCCUACGGGUGAAAGCAGGGGAUCUUCGCACCUUGCGCGAUUGAAUGAGCCGAUGUCGGAUUAGCUAGUUGGCUGGGUAAAGGCCCACCAAGGCGACGAUGCGUAGCCGGCCUGAGAGGAUGAUCGGCCACACUGGAACUGAGACACGGUCCAGACUCCUACGGGAGGCAGCAGUAGGGAAUCUUGGGCAAUGGGCGCAAGCCUGAUCCAGCAAUACCGCGUGAGUGAAGAAGGCCUUCGGGUUGUAAAGCUCUGUUGUUGGGAAAGAAAAGCAGCAUGUUAAUACCCCGCUGUUCUGACGGUACCCAAAGAAUAAGCAACGGCUAACUUCGUG